UACGUAGGGGGCUAGCGUUGUCCGGAAUUAUUGGGCGUAAAGAGCUCGUAGGUGGUUCGGUAAGUCGGAUGUGAAAUCUCCAGGCUCAACCUGGAGGGGUCAUUCGAUACUGCCGUGACUAGAGGUCGGUAGGGGAGUGUGGAAUUCCUGGUGGAGCGGUGAAAUGCGCAGAUAUCAGGAGGAACACCCGUAGCGAAGGCGGCACUCUGGGCCGAUACUGACACUGAGGAGCGAAAGCGUGGGGAGCGAACAGG
rnacentral:rRNA from 1 species